rnacentral:rRNA from 1 species
UACGUAGGCAGCGAGCGUUGUUCGGAUUUACUGGGCGUAAAGCGUGCGUAGACGGUUACAUAAGUCGGGUGUGAAAGCCCCGGGCUCAACCUGGGAACUGCGUCUGAUACUGGACGGCUUGAGUAUGGGAGAGGAACGUAGAAUUCCAGGUGUAGCGGUGAAAUGCGUAGAUAUCUGGAGGAAUACCGGUGGCGAAGGCGGCGUUCUGGACCAUUACUGACACUGAAUCGCGAAAGCUAGGGGAGCAAACGGG